AUGCAUUCACCUAUUUCCCCUUUCGCCCACAGUUCCAUCGUUGCAGACAAACCCACCCUCCUCCCGUUGUAUCUCACUCUUCACUCCUUCUCACCACAUCCACGCCAUACCCCUUUUGCCGACGCCGCUUCCAGAUCUGGAGUGGCCACAGAAGCGCCGUUUGAGGGUGCGACUUCGCUCACGGCCAUGGUGAAUUCGACCGAGCCGCCGACCGAGCCCCCCUCCUCAAAUCGCGCGAUCGAAAGCAGCGUCGGGGAGGCGGGGGGCACUGCCGCGGAGGCUAUGACAACGUCACUGAGUGCCCACCGCGAGGCGAUGUCGUCGCUCUCGUCGACACUCAAGAUGCCGGGGAGCCAUCGGGUGCUGCGAUAUGCUCCCGUCAACUGUGCUGGUGAAGCCAUCGCCCCGGCCAUGGGCUCCUCCUCACAAGAUCUCAACAAGGUCAGCCAGAGGCUACAACUCGGGCUCGGUGAAGUGAUCGUGGCACCGGGUGUCGGCAACCCCAGGGACAACGAGUCCCCCGUGGUCACUGAGGCGGUUUCUCGGCAGCCAUUGAAGGCGCACCCCCGCCGCCGCCGCCCUGCUAUGUCAUCCCACACGGACGCGGCAGCCGUGAGUGUGCCACCACAGGCGCCCGAGCGCAAGCGACGGUUGGUCCGCGCCGAUGCGCUCGACAGGCCACGGUUCUCCGCGACGCUCUCCACGGAAGAGAUUGAGGAAGACAUAUAUGCCCUCACCGGCGCGUUGCCGCGCAGCCGCCCUCGCCACUGCCCACCCGCGGUGCAGAAUCAGAUCAAUCUGCUACUUCCCGGUUCACGCUUAUCGGAGAUCAACGCGGAGUCCUACCGGGUGCCAGAGGAUCGCUGA
rnacentral:rRNA from 1 species